CACUUAUGGAGUUUUUGGACAUUUAUGAUCACAUUUCGAUAUAGGGGUAUCAAUAGGGUAACAAUUUCAUAUGAGCAUUUAUAGUAUAAAACUCUUGUGAUAGAACAAAAAGAUACGAAUAGUCUUCUUAGCACAAAUCAUACAAAUUGCUAAACCCAUGUCUCUUCUCUCAAAAAUUGAGGACAACAAUUUCAAAAUGGUCUCUAUACACUCCUUAUUAUGUUUAGCCAAUCUAAUGUCAUCAAUAUCAAAAUUAGAAUUACAACCUACUAUCAAACCUUUACACAAAUAUAGUAAUUUUCGCCCAUAUGACGAAACUCUUAUACGAGAUUUAACCCUAAUAAAAACUCAAGUACGACUGUCAAGAUGACUGUAUUAUGCUGUGCAUGUAACUAUAAAGUUACAACAAUAAAAAAGGCCUUUAACAUGAAAUCUAAAAGUCGAUUCAUGUUGAUCUCUUUAAUCAUUUCUCCAUUGAGAAUAAAAAUACAGUCUUUUGGGUCUAUUUGAUGUAACUCUAAAUUUUAUACAUACUAUCAAGGCUAGCAUAGACGUACAGAAGCGGAUCCCAUCGUUAUGAAAAAAAUUUAUCCAACUCAAUAUACUCACAUUGAAUAUAACCUUUUUAAAAAACGAGCUUUAUCUAUUAGAAACUCAUUAGUCUUCUACUCAACUUUCAAGAACCUGAAUGUUCUCAAUAAAUACACAAUGUCCGAAUAGAACUUUUACCAUAUCUCAAAUUAGGUUGAAAUUCUAUACUCCAUAUAUAUACUUCCAUUACUUUUCUCAAAAUUCCUCUUCUGAUUUUCUGAAUCAAGAAUCAUUGGCAUUAAAUAACUCUUAGAUUCAACUUGGAACCAAGAAUCAUUAAAAUUAGAUAGUUCUUGGAUGGUUCCCACUCAAAUAGAUAGCUCUCACUCAGAACAAAAAAUUAUUGAUAUUAAAUGACUCUUAGCUUCCACUCGAAACCAAGUAUCAUUAAAAUUAGAUAGCUCUUAGAUGGCUCCCACUCGGAUAGAUAGGUCCAACUCGGAAACAAAUUACUCCCACUUAAAUCAAAAGUUUGAAUAAUCUUUUAUAUAUUCAAAAUUGAUUCAUCAGUACAUAUAAUAUCAAUUUCAAUGAUGUUCUCUAAUCUUUUCUCUCUUACUGAAAAAUAUGUCAAAUGUCAUAUUUUAUGACUCGAUAUCCAUCCAAAAUUUCACUGAAAUACCUUUUUUUUGGACUACCUUAAUAGACUCAUGUUCCUAUACUCAUUACCAAGAACAUAUAUAGUCCAUUAAGAGUCUAUGAUAACCCAUGUUUGAUUAUUUAAGUGUCCAAAACUUAUAUAUUCUGAAAGUUCCAACAUUGAGGAACUCCUUUAAUUGAUAUGUUGAGUUAGCCAACGCUCUUGCCAAAAGCAAAUACGUACUACAUAACUUGAACCUCAUGAGUCAUCAUAUUUAGCAAUAUUUUAUUCUUUCAAUCCAAUACACCAUAUAAUUAUUGGAUAUUAAAAAAUAGUCAAUCCAAUAAGAGUUGCUCUCAUUACAUAGAUCAUUGAUAUCUUGUGAUAGAGAUUUAGGCUAUCAAACAUUUCUUAAAAUCUUCACUUUCAUAAUCUGAUUUUCUACUCGACCUCAUAAAAGUCUAAAUCAAUAUAAUAUCUUCAACAUAAGAAAAUCGAUCUCACAACUCAAGUGCAUGAAUCCAUAUAUAAAUGUAAUGAAAAGUAAAGUUUCAUCUCUAUCUCUCUUAAUCACGAUCCACAAAAAAAUUUGGAUGGAUUUAUUCUAUGGAAGUUCAGCUGUUAUAGCUUUGAAUGUUUUUCUCAACUCAAAACCUCAAACCAUUGCACAAAUAUCCAGAACCAUAAUAAACAUCACCAUUGUGAGUACGAACAGAACUAACAUGUACAAGUUCAAGUAAGAGACCACUUUUUGAAGAACAAUAAUUGAGUUCAUAUUUAGUGGAGUCUUUGAUACUAUCUCAAUAUCCACUUUGCAACACUAAGUUGCAAUACCAGUCAUAUAAACAUCUACUCCAUCUUCACUAUUUGUACAUAUCUAUUUCAUAUCAAGUCAAAGACUUAACAAUAGAUUAAGAUACUUCUUGAUCUCAUAUGAAGUGAGUUUCUAACCCUUGAAUCCAUUAUCUACACAAUAUAAGAUCGAAUAUGUAUAGUGUUGGUGCGUAAACAACACUAAGAGGAAUAUGGUCAAGUGUAAUAUUCUUUAGCCUAACCAUUUUCGAGCUAAGAGAUUCAAAUUGAAGCACUUGAACCUUUAUAACAUUGAUCCUCUACCAAAACCACUUUCAUUCACUUAUUAUUUGAAGUUCUUCUUAGCCCCCUUUUCAAUCUCAGCAUCUGUCCC
rnacentral:lncRNA from 1 species